ACUCAAGUUAUGCAUCCUACGCGUUCGGACGUCUGCGAUAUCGUCGACGUGCAGGCGGCCGUGAAUUCAAUAGUGAUUCUUACGAGAGGAAGCACCGGGGAAUGUGGGACAAGGGGCGCAAGCGGCAUCCAGCGUUGCGGCAUGAGUGACGAAGGUCUUUGGAUGGUAAAGCUCUUUAGGAGGGGACGAUAUAGUCGGUACCCGCCGAAUAAGCCCCGGCUAACUUCGUGCCAGCAGCCGCAGUAAUACGAAGGGGGCAAGCGUGUUUCUGAAUUACUGGGCGUAAAGCGCAGGUAGGCGGGGAAGUCAGUCAGGGGUGAAAUCCCGGGGCUCAACCCCGGAACUGCCUCCGAUACAGCAAAUCCGGAGUCCGGAAGCGGGGAGUGGAAUUCCGCGUGUAGAGGUGAAAUUCGCAGAUAUUAGGAAGAACACCAGUGGCGAAGGCGGCUCACUGGUCCGGUACUGACGGUGAGGUGCGAAAGUGUGGGGAGCAAACAGGAUUAGAUACCCUGGUAGUCCACGCCGUAAAUGAUGGAUGCUAGCCGUCGGAUACCAUCCUAAGACGUGGCGCAGCCAACGCAUUAAGCAUCCUCCGAGGGGAGUACGGCCGCAAAAAUAAAACUCAAAGGAACGACGGGG
rnacentral:rRNA from 1 species